UACGAAGGGGGCUAGCGUUGCUCGGAAUUAUUGGGCGUAAAGCGCACGUAGGCGGUUUGUUAAGUCGGAUGUGAAAUCCCUCGGCUCAACUGAGGAAGUGCAUCCGAAACUGGCAGGCUUGAGUACUAAAGAGGGUCGCGGAAUUCCCGGUGUAGAGGUGAAAUUCGUAGAUAUCGGGAGGAACACCGGUGGCGAAGGCGGCGACCUGGGUAGAUACUGACGCUGAGGUGCGAAAGCGUGGGGAGCAAACAGG
rnacentral:rRNA from 1 species